ensembl:snRNA U2 U2 spliceosomal RNA
AGUGCUUCUCAGUCUAAGAUCAAGUGUAGUAUCUGUUCUCAUCAGCUUAAUAUCUAAUUGUCCACACUCACGUCACAUAAUAGUUUAAAAAAUAAUCACCCAAU